rnacentral:rRNA from 1 species
GAUGAACGCUGGCGGCGUGCCUAAUACAUGCAAGUCGAGCGAACAGACGAGGAGCUUGCUCCUCUGACGUUAGCGGCGGACGGGUGAGUAACACGUGGAUAACCUACCUAUAAGACUGGGAUCACUUCGGGAAACCGGAGCUAAUACCGGAUAAUAUAUUGAACCGCAUGGUUCAAUAGUGAAAGACGGUUUUGCUGUCACUUAUAGAUGGAUCCGCGCCGCAUUAGCUAGUUGGUAAGGUAACGGCUUACCAAGGCAACGAUGCGUAGCCGACCUGAGAGGGUGAUCGGCCACACUGGAACUGAGACACGGUCCAGGCUCCUACGGGAGGCAGCAGUAGGGAAUCUUCCGCAAUGGGCGAAAGCCUGACGGAGCCACGCCGCGUGAGUGAUGAAGGUCUUCGGAUCGUAAAACUCUGUUAGUAGGGAAGAACAAAUGUGUAAGUAACUAUGCACGUCUUGACGGUACCUAAUCAAAAAGCAACGGCUAACUACGUG